AUUGAACGCUGUCGGCAGGCCUAACACAUGCAAGUCGAGCGAGCGGCGGACGGGUGAGUAAUGUCUGGGAAACUGCCUGAUGGAGGGGGAUAACUACUGGAAACGGUAGCUAAUACCGCAUACCAUCAGAUCUGCCCAGAUGGGAUUAGCUCGUAGGUGGGGUCAUGGCUCCCCUAGGCGACGAUCCCUAGCUGGUCUGAGAGGAUGACCAGCCACACUGGAACUUAGACACGGGCCAGACUCCUACGGGAGGCAGCAGUGGGGAAUAUUGCACAAUGUGCGCAAGCCUGAUGCAGCCAUGCCGCUUGUGUGAAGAAGGCCUUCGGGUUGUAAAGCACUUUCAGCGGGGAGGCGUUACCCGCAGAAGAAGCACCGGCUAACUCCGUGCCAGCAGCCGCGGUAAUUC
rnacentral:rRNA from 1 species